CCUACGGGAGGCAGCAGUGAGGAAUAUUGGUCAAUGGACGAGAGUCUGAACCAGCCAAGUAGCGUGAAGGAUGACUGCCCUAUGGGUUGUAAACUUCUUUUAUAUGGGAAUAAAACGUUCCACGUGUGGGAUUUUGUAUGUACCAUAUGAAUAAGGAUCGGUUAACUCCGUGCCAGCAGCCGCGGUAAUACGGAGGAUCCGAGCGUUAUCCGGAUUUAUUGGGUUUAAAGGGAGCGUAGGUGGAUUGUUAAGUCAGUUGUGAAAGUUUGCGGCUCAACCGUAAAAUUGCAGUUGAAACUGGCAGUCUUGAGUACAGUAGAGGUGGGCGGAAUUCGUGGUGUAGCGGUGAAAUGCUUAGAUAUCACGAAGAACUCCGAUUGCGAAGGCAGUUCACUGGACUGCAACUGACACUGAGGCUCGAAAGUGUGGGUAUCAAACAGGAUUAGAUACCCUUGUAGUC
rnacentral:rRNA from 1 species